rnacentral:lncRNA from 1 species
UAUGGAGUCAUGAAAAUUUUGGAAGAUCUUCUAAUUGACAAUCAUAUUGUUUUAGAAGUAUAUAUAUCCUAUAUAUGGGUAAUUGAUAACAUCCAACGAACUAAAUCUUAUUCGAGUUCGUUCUUUUCCUCAAUGGAGAAAUCCAUUAUCUUAUGAUGCUUCUUUCCUUGACAUCUUUCAAGGAAACUGUUCUAAAGUGUUACCUUUUCUUGGAUCAAAUCUAAGGAGGUAAAUACUUUAGACGUCUUACUCAUCAACUUACAUUUCUUGAAUUCUUUGAAACCUUUUGCAAAGUAUUCGGACUUGUGUUUAUUCAAAAUAAACUAUAGUCCAACCGAGAGUGAUCUUCGGUGAAUGUCAUACAACAUGAGUAGUAUUAUGCUUGUGGACAAGUGCCACUAACAUCUAAGUGAAUUAACCUCAACAACUUUG